rnacentral:lncRNA from 1 species
GUCGUCCUCCUCCUCCACUUCUUCUUCCUCGCCCUCCGGCUUCUUCAGCAGUGUCUUCCCUCCUCCUUCCACGGUACGUGGUGGUUGUUCUCGAUGAGCGAUCCCCUUGUUAUUAUGAGCUUUCCUUCUUCGAUUCCGGCUCUUCGGUGAUGGGUUUCACGACCUGUGUUGGGGUUUGUUUGUGGAUCUCGAGGCUUGGGAUUAUGCUAGGGUUGUGGAUCGAGUGCGUGCUUUUUUGCAGCUCGUGCGUCGAUCGACUCCUAAUUAAUCAAAUUUUUUUUUGUGGAAAUUGAAUCAAUCGUUCUCUGUGAUUGAAUCAAUCGUGCUCGUAAAGACGAACCCUAAACGAAUGAGUUCGAUCUACGUCGUUGCAG